UAUCCUAUAUUCAAAUCACACCUUUUCUUCUCCAAAGCUACCCACCCUCUCACCCUCACCCACACCCCCACAUCCCCCGUACCUUGCACCCUUUUCUUUUAUUUUUUUUCUUACAUCUCCACCGUUACCCCCACUCCACACCCCUUUCUUUUAUGGAAAAAUUACGUAAACUAACAACCUUAAGACAUUAAUUACAAUUAAUAGCAAUAGUUUCUCAAAAUUACAACUAAUAACAAAAUAUAGCAAUAUUUUACCUUUGUUAGGGAAAAGCGCAUGACUUGAACUUUUCUUUUUAUCCAUCCCCUUUUCACGCUAAUUUACCAAAUCCAGUUCCCUCUAAUCUUUAAUUUUUUUUUCUCAAAAAUCGUUUUUAUCUGAGAUCUUGAUAAACAUUGCAUCCUUCAAUUAAGCAGGAUGGUCCAACUUAAAUUUUGAAGUUCCCAGAAGAUACCAUCUACCCUGAAGAGGAGUUGUUCGAUGUUGAUAGUGCGUUGGAUGAUGAUACAUUCAUGUCUAUAGCAUUUGAAUAAGCUCUUUUUGCCUUGAUUAGCCAAUCAACAAUUUAUUCAUUAUAUAUAUAUAGAACAUAGUAACUAAUUCUGCACCAUCAAGUUACUUGAGGGGAAACUCAAUUUUUUCUUCAUAUGUUGUAUUUGGUAGUCAUUAGAUUUUGAAUGUGACGUGUAGUUCUUAUUUAUUGAAAUGUAUUUUUUACAUACAUAAGGCCAUUUCAGUGAGCAUAUGUAAUUCUAAAAUACAUAUGACAUUUGUGUAAGAUAUUUGUAUUUAUCACUAGCAAGGUUUUGUAUAUAUAUUUUUAUAUAGAAGUGCAAUAUGUA